rnacentral:lncRNA from 1 species
AAAAUCUCCGUUUGGUGGAGGAACGACGUUUAAAUUAUCGACUUAAUACCUCCACGUUUCUCAAGUGUCAUAUUGACUUUGUCAAGGACUUGCUUGGGUUUUCUAUUUUAUAUUCAUAUUUUUAUAUUCCUAUUAUUUCGCUUAAUUCAUCACUCGAACUAUGGCUAAUUUGAAACGUUAAGUGUUUCGCCUUCAAGAUGUUUUUGUAAGAACUGUUAAUUGUACUUUGUUACUCUAAAUAAAUAGUACUCAAUGUUUUUAAUUUAAAAUUUCACAUGAUUAUAUAAUCCUUCCGAACGGCUCUUUCAGUGAAUAAAACUAGAGGCUCUUAAGAGCCUGUGUCGCUCACCUUGGUCUAUGCGCAUUUUCAACAAAAGACACAGAUGGAUUAAUGACAAAAUUGUGUUUUGGUGAUGGUGAUGUGUUUGUAAAUCUUACUUUACUGAACAUUCUUGCUACUUACAAUUAUCUUCAUCUCAAAUGAACUUGGUCC